AUGUGCAGUUCGCCUAUCAAACCACUGGAGAGAGGAGCAAAUUGGAACAGCAGGUGCUGCCUGUGGAAGGUUAAAGCAGGACACGACAGUUUUCCCCUGGAAGAUCGGGGCCUCCCAGAGACGUUCACGCUUUAUACAGAAUCAAAAGGCCAUGUUAUCUGCGUAAAGAAAAGUCCUUCUCUUCUCAUUUCUUAUGAUUAUAAACAUCGUUGCUACAAGUUUUGUGAAGUGUUGAAAAUGAGCAUGGUGGCCUUGGAAGUGUUGAAGCUGGUGGAACCAUCAGAUGUAAGGACCUAGGUCUCUGAGUCACUUACUGAAAGAGAGCCAUUCGCUGACUAGGAAGACCAAUUUCUGCAUAUUCCCUGAACAAUAAAUAGACCUCUAUCGCCUUGGAACGAGAAAGAGACUUCUUUGUUUUCUGAGCCAUUGCACAGUUGAAUGUAUGCUGCUUGCAGCGGUUAGCCUUACCCUGGCUAUUGCAUUCUGUUUCCAAAAAACUGCAUGGAUUAGGCUUGACUCAUUUCAAAUGACUUCAAGUCAGUCAGUCAGGGUCUCAGUCAGCGAACUUAAGAUUGGUGGAGGAAAAAGACAAUUUUUCCUGUGCUACCACAUCUUCAGGAGGAGGCACGUUGUUCUGCCUACCACAUACACCUACCCUAUAAGGCUGAGUGGUUGUUUCUAAUUCACGUCAUCAUCGACUUAUCCUCCCAAUAAAUAUUCAGUAAACACAUGCUCUUUUUCA
rnacentral:lncRNA from 13 species